rfam:Pseudoalteromonas atlantica T6c, complete genome.
UUUGGCUUUUUCACGACUCCAAUUUUCCAUCUUUUUAAUUGGCUUGUCAGAUGUCCAGACAGGGACGUCUGGACAAGGCGAAGUGUUUUACAAGGAUGUUACCUUUCGCCGUUCUGGCAUUGAAGACAAUUAAAAAUAUGGAUCAAAAAAUUGGCUGGAGAUCGGCUU